UGGGCCAACAUGACAUUAAUAUAAUUUUAUUAAUCCAUACCAAAUAGACAAAACACAUUAUUGUAAUAAAUCGAAGAAAAAUUUUCAUUUACAUAUUGCCCAUUAAAUCAACAUCAUUUUACACUCCUCUUAAACAAUAAAAAAUUAUUGUAUAAAAGAAGAUAAUUUACAACUUGUUGUCUUCAAACUAUUGGGUUGGCUAAAUCUCAAAAAUCAUUCCCAGUACUUUCUUCGUAGCCUGCAUAUUUCUUAUAGGAAAGAGCCUCCCACCUUGAAGAUACUUGGUGCUUCGACAAAACAGCAUUUGGAGUCUGUAUUUCUUCAAUCCAUAGUGAAAGAGGUAUCACCUGAAAUGUUUAGGAGAAGUUCAUUUAUAUCAUAACACCGUAAUCAACAACCAGAAGAUUGCACUAUAGUCCAGGCUACCAUAAGAGCAUGAACAGACAAAAAAAUCUCUUGUCAUCUCUAGAACUUAUGUUAAAUGCCUUCUGACCUAGAUGGAACUUCGGUAAAUUUUACCAAGAGAUUAUGUGUGUGGUGUCAAUAAAUAUAUGCUAUAAUCAAGUAGGAAAGAUAGGGACUAAACUGCCCACUUUCAAUUAUCCAUAUAGCUCAUAUCAAACAUUAUCAUAUAUCACAUCUCAAGAGUGCAUUCUUUAGAGUCCAAUUAUUGGAGAUACUUUGUCUGUGUAGAUAGAGUACACUAUUGACAAAAGUCGUUGCCAUCAUUUUAAUUCAUGUACGUAGGAAAUGCACGAAAUCAUAUUGACAACAACUAGGAGAGGUUCCCUAUUGCAACUACUUCUCCUCUUUAAGGGCCUUAUCAAUAAAUCUAGAUAGACAAUUUAACCCAUAGACAGUUUCAGAAAUCCCUAAUAUUAUGCCCCCACUAAUUUAAACAGCUCCCUCACUUAACAGGCUCCAUCUCACGAAACCCCAUGUUUCUUUCCUAUUAAAUACAAUUUUAUUUUGCAGAGAAUAAGAAUGGAUAAAGUCCACUAUGUUCAGAAGCAUAGCCAGAUGGCUGGUAUUGAUCAUUAUUCAUUCUUUUACAAGUCUAUGAAGGAACUUGUAGGCGAUGGAAACUUAAUUAGGUGAGCUCACUUAGUACAUCCUAAAUGCACUGCUCAUCAAGCUCACUUCCAUCUUUCAAUCACUAGUCAUUGCAAUCAGAACAUUU
rnacentral:lncRNA from 1 species